rnacentral:antisense_RNA from 1 species
CUUCAGGCUCCCCAGCCACAGGGGCUGGUCGUCAGGUCGGUCCUGCCCGUAGGUCGCCAGCAGGGCCUGGGCUUC